rnacentral:lncRNA from 1 species
AAACUUUAGGACUUUUAACCUUCAUAUUUAUUUAAGAAGAUCAUAGUAACUAUGACUUAUGUAAACAUAUAUACCAAAUGAAAACAUAUAAUAUAAAAUACAUUUUAUACAAAAAUACCUCAGAGAAGUCAAAAUCUUACAGUGACAGAAAAAGAGUCUUCAGAAAGGAAAUCAAGAAAAUUCAAAUGGACCAGAAGAAAGGAGCAGUACUGGCAGGGAGGAUCUACUGAUGAGGAUAAAAGGAGAAAAGAGCAAGCAAAGAUGGGAUAGAAUUUGGAGAAGCUAGUAAUGUGCUAAGGAGUGGCCCAGCUAAGGACAGGAUGGUGAAUGAAUUGUGGGCUGACUGUGAAAGUCCAGGCACAUCUGGCUGCAAGUCUGGACUUCAUGUUUCUGGAAAAGAGGCAGAAGGCUGUGAACUGGAGAGUGGAUUAGAGGCAUGUGUGAGAUAAUUGACACUAAAAAAACUUUGGGUUUAAUUAAGACAGAAACUAGAGUCUUGAGGGUAGUUACAAGUAAAAAAUAUUAAAGCAAAAAAAUUAUAGUAACUCAUGUAACAGAACUUGAUUUUUGUGUGGUAGAGAAAAUUUUUUUGUGGGCCAGAAAAUGAUUUGUGGGCCAGAGAAAAAAGAAUAGAAAAAGAUCCCAGGCUAGAAAGAUCUGACUUUCUCAAUCUCAUAAUCCUCAAAGGCAGCAUGUGCAUUCCCCUAAAACCUUAAGAAUCUGAUUGAGUUAUUCUUUUGAACUUACACCAUUCCUGCACUGAUAAGAUACAGCGAGAGGCAUCAACAAAACAGAUACAUUUUAUCCUAACUGUUUAGUGACCGUCAGAUAAGGACAAUAACAUUCACUUAAGAAAAUUUUUCAAUGCCAAAACAUCCUCCCUACCAGGGAAACCUCCCUAGUCCCACACCCACCCCAAUCGGCAGGAGAAAUGGAGCAGGCCAUUAAUCAGCUAACAUUUCAUAAACUUUUUGCCACAAAAUAAGAAUAAAAUGCCUAUUUAUCUAAAAUUAGGUAGCCA